rnacentral:misc_RNA from 1 species
AACGAGGCCGACCUGCGGCUGAGUUACCUGCGGAAGGAUCAUUACAGAGUUACUACUCCAAACCCAUUGUGAACCUUACCUAUGUUCUGUUGCCUCGGCGGCGCGGUCAGCGCCCCUCUGAAAAGAGGACGAUGCCCUCCCGCCGGCAGCACCAAACUCUUGAAUUUUACAGCGGAUUACAGUUCUGAUUUAAAAACAAAAAAAACAAGUUAAAACUUUUAACAACGGAUCUCAGAUCGG